rnacentral:rRNA from 1 species
UACGUAGGUGGCGAGCGUUAUCCGGAAUGAUUGGGCGUAAAGGGUGCGUAGGCGGCCUGCUAAGUCUGGAGUGAAAGCCCGGGGCCCAACCCCGGAACUGCUCUGGAAACUGUGCGGCUAGAGUACUGGAGGGGCAGGCGGAAUUCCUAGUGUAGCGGUGAAAUGCGUAGAUAUUAGGAGGAACACCAGUGGCGAAGGCGGCCUGCUGGACAGUAACUGACGUUGAGGCUCGAAAGCGUGGGGAGCAAAAAGG